UCACUGGAGGACUAGCGGUUAGGCCACGGCACUCUUACUGCCGCGGCCCAGGUUCGAUUCCUGGCCAGGGAA